rnacentral:rRNA from 1 species
GACGAACGCUGGCGGCGUGCUUAACACAUGCAAGUCGAACGAGUGGCGAACGGGUGAGUAAUACGUGGGUAACCUGCCCUCUUUUUGGGAUAAGCCUUGGAAACGGGGUCUAAUACCGAAUAAAGGGGGAUGGGCUCGAGGCCUAUCAGCUUGUUGGUGGGGUGCUGGCCGACCAAGGGUGCGACGGGUAGCCGGCCUGAGAGGGUGGACGGCCGCAUUGGAACUAAGGCCCGGCCCAGACUCUUACGCGGGGCAGCAGUUGGGAAUAUUGGUCAAUGGGCGAUAGCCUGAACCAGCCAAGUAGCGUGCAGGAUGACGGCCUAUGGGUGGUAAACUGCUUUUGUAUGGGGCUAGGUACCAUACGAAUAAGGACCGGCUAAUUCCGUGCCAGCAGCCGCGGUAAUAC